ensembl:lncRNA
AUCAGCCCCAAUGUACACAAUUACACUUCAUUUAAACUACAGACUAACAGAAACGUGUUGCGGGGUGACGUUUACAUUUGUACCCUACUAGGGCUGCAGUGUGCAGUUUUAAGAUGACAAAAUUCUGGGUUUGAGCAAGGUAGGAAAGGGAAAGACUUUAUUGUAGUGGGUUGUAGUGGGCACCUUCGCGUUCGUGUGUCUGCUCACACCCCCAAGCUCAGCUCCACAACGAGGCUGAGGGAGACACGGCGUUCAAUUACACCGGCUGCCAGUGAAUAGAAGGAACGAGGCGCGGGGAAAUGCACGCCUGUGCCGUCAGUGAAAUGCGCCUGAGAUUUAGCCCCUGAAUGCACACGACGCCACCGAAAUGCCGGGCUGGAAGAAAAAUAUCCCCGCUUGCCUGCAAGCCGACCAAGAAGGAGAUGAGGGGCCCUACACUAAACACUCCAAUCCCUCCAGGCCACCAGAUGGCGCUCUGGCAAUUAGGAGACAGAGUAUUCCAGAUGAGUUUAAGGGCACCAGCACCGUGGAGCUGAUCAAGAAGGAAGGCACAACCUUGGGCCUGACAGUAUCUGGAGGCAUUGACAAAGACGGCAAGCCCCGCGUCUCCAACCUGCGCCAGGGCGGCAUCGCUGCCAGGAGUGACCAGUUGAACGUAGGGGACUAUAUAAAGUCUGUGAAUGGAAUCAACUUGACAAAGUUUCGUCAUGAUGAGAUUAUUAGUCUGCUGAAGAAUGUGGGGGAGAGGGUCGUCCUGGAGGUCGAGUACGAGCUACCGCCUGUCUCUGUACAGGGCUCAGGGGUCAUGUUCAAAAACGUGGAGGUGACGCUGCACAAAGAAGGCAAUACAUUCGGUUUCGUCAUCAGAGGAGGCGCCCAUGAAGACAGAAACAAAUCUCGCCCGGUUACCAUAACAACCAUCAGACCUGGUGGUCCGGCUGACAGGGAAGGCACCAUCAAACCUGGCGACAGGCUGCUCAGUAUUGACGGAAUUCGUCUGCAUGGAGCGUCUCACGCAGAGGCCAUGAGCAUCCUCAAACAAUGCGGCCAGGAAGCAACUCUUCUCAUAGAGUAUGAUGUGUCAGUCAUGGAUUCUGUAGCCACAGCUUCAGGCCCGCUGUUGGUGGAGGUGGCUAAGUCCAUGGGUUCCAGUUUAGGUCUGGCUCUCUCUACCUCCAUGUACUGCAAUAAGCAGGUCAUCAUCAUCGACAAGGUCAAACCAGCCAGCAUCGCCGAUAGGUGUGGUGCACUGCAUGCAGGUGAUCACAUCCUCUCGGUGGAUGGCACAAGUAUGGAGUAUUGCACACUGGCUGAGGCCACCCAGCUGCUAGCUAGCGCUUCUGAACACGUCAAAAUGGAGAUUCUGCCUCACCACCAGACAAGACUGGCCCUCAAGGGCCCUGAACAUGUCAAGGUGCAGAGGAGUAACCGGCCAUUGCCCUGGGAAUCCGGAACCAACAACAACAGCAACUUCCUUCCCUAUCAACACUAUAACACCUACCACCCUGACCAGUCCCGCAGCCAGACCAAGCAAAAAACCUCUCCAAACAACCCCCCUCUGGGUUCAUCCUUCUCUCCCACCUCCAUGAGUGCCUACAGUCUGAGUUCACUCAACAUGAACACGCUGCCACGCACCAUGUAUCCCACAAGUCCCCGUGGCACCAUGAUGAGACGCAAACUGAAGAAGAAAGACUACAAGAGCUCAAUGUCCCUGGCUUCCAGUACGGUAGGACUUGCUGGUCAGGUGGUCCACACAGAAACAACAGAGGUGACCCUCAUCAGUGACUCCAUCAUGGGCUUUGGGAUCCAGCUUCAGGGAGGAGUCUUUGCCACGGAAACCCUGUCCUCUCCGCCGCUCAUCGCUUACAUAGACCCCGACAGCCCGGCGGAGCGGUGCGGCAUCCUGCAGAUUGGCGACCGCAUCCUGUCAAUAAAUGGCAUCCCCACUGAGGACAGCACGCUGGAGGAGACCAAUCAGCUGCUGAGGGACUCCAGCAUCACCAGCAAAGUCACACUAGAGAUUGAGUUUGACGUAGCAGAAUCGGUUAUCCCAAGCAGUGGAACCUUCCAUGUGAAGCUACCAAAGAAGCCAGGUGUGGAGCUGGGCAUCACCAUCAGCUCCCCUUCUAGUAGGAAGCCUGGAGAUGCACUCAUCAUCUCUGACAUAAAGAAAGGCAGCGUGGCGCACAGGACGGGCACCCUGGAGCUGGGGGAUAAGCUUCUGGCAAUAGACAACAUCCGUCUGGAUAACUGCUCCAUGGAGGACGCCGUUCAAAUCCUGCAGCAGUGCGAAGACCUGGUUAAACUCAAGAUCCGCAAGGACGAGGACAACUCAGGUACCUCUGAGCCUCUGCAACUACAAACCCCACGCGGACACAAAUUAACACUAAAAGCCCCCAUCAACAGUCUGAAGGGCAAACCUCUCAGUGAGGCCAUCCACCUGCUGCAGAUGGCAGGGGAGUCCGUCACACUGAAGAUCAAGAAGCAGGGAGAAUGUGAGUUGGCAAGCCCAAAGCAGCCCUCAGUAACGGGCCGUUUAAACGAUCUGAGCGAUAUGGAGGAUGACGGUCAGGCUGGGCAGAAACUCGGUAAACUCUCAGACAUCUAUUCCACCACUAUUCCCAGUGUGGACAGCGCAGUGGAAUCCUGGGAUGGCUCCGCCAUUGACGCCACAUUCAGCACCCAAGGUUUCCAGGCAUCGGGCUACAGUUUCCACAGCCAUGAGUGGAGGAAUGCCAAGCCCGGCCGGGGCAGCCUCUCCCCAGUGAACAGCAGUCGGCAGAGGAACAACAUCCUGCCGGACUUUGGACUCGGUGUGGAUGAAUGGGACAGGCCAAGCGCUAGCGGGUACAUUAAUAUACUACUUGUAAAUUAUACACAACAGUUUAAAUACACAUUCCAGCAUAUAAUGAAUCUUAUUUUUAUAGGAUUAGCCACCAUCAUGUCGGGCAGCUCUUUGAGUUUAAACCACGAUCCUGCACCCACCCGAAGCCAUCUGGGCCGCCAGGCCAGCUUUCAGGAACGUGGCAGCAACAAACCACAAUACACACAGGCCAACCGCAGCAACACGCUGCCCACCGAUGUCGGCAGAAAAGCUUUCUCCAUGAGGAGAAUGAAGCAGGAGAUCAAAGACAUCAUGUCGCCCACCCCGGUUGAACUUCACAAGGUGAGCCUUUUGAAGGACUCGGACCUUGAGGACUUUGGGUUUAGCGUGUCUGACGGAGUCUUGGAGAAGGGGGUUUAUGUAAACAAUAUCCGUCCAGGCGGCCCUGCUGAAAUCGGAGGACUCAAGCCAUACGAUAGACUGCUACAGAUAAACCACGUCCGGACUAGAGACUUUGACUGCUGCUUAGUGGUUCCUCUUAUAGCAGAGUCCGGGAACAAACUGGAUCUAGUCAUAAGCCGAAACCCGGUUUCCUCGCAGCCCUCAGAACUAAACCCGUUGUCCAAUGACGAGACAGCAAACUGGACUGACCCCGGGGACCCUGUCGUGCAGCGGAUGAUUUAUAAGGGAUGCGUGUGA